rnacentral:rRNA from 1 species
CCUACGGGGGGCAGCAGUGGGGAAUAUUGCACAAUGGGGGAAACCCUGAUGCAGCGACGCCGCGUGAGUGAAGAAGUAUUUCGGUACGUAAAGCUCUAUCAGCAGGGAAGAAAAUGACGGUACCUGACUAAGAAGCUCCGGCUAACUACGUGCCAGCAGCCGCGGUAAUACGUAGGGGGCAAGCGUUAUCCGGAUUUACUGGGUGUAAAGGGAGCGUAGACGGCAGCGCAAGUCUGGAGUGAAAUCCCAUGGCUUAACCAUGGAACUGCUUUGGAAACUGUGCAGCUAGAGUGCAGGAGAGGUAAGCGGAAUUCCUAGUGUAGCGGUGAAAUGCGUAGAUAUUAGGAGGAACCCCAGUGGCGAAGGCGGCUUACUGGACUGUAACUGACGUUGAGGCUCGAAAGCGUGGGGAGCAAACAGGAUUAGAUACCCGAGUAGUC